rnacentral:rRNA from 1 species
AUUGAACGCUGGCGGCAGGCCUAACACAUGCAAGUCGAACGGUAACAGGAAGCAGCUUGCUGCUUUGCUGACGAGUGGCGGACGGGUGAGUAAUGUCUGUGAAACUGCCUGAUGGAGGGGGAUAACUACUGGAAACGGUAGCUAAUACCGCAUAACGUCGCAAGACCAAAGAGGGGGACCUUCGGGCCUCUUGCCAUCGGCUGUGCCCAGAUGGGAUUAGCUAGUAGGUGGGGUAACGGCUCACCUAGGCGACGAUCCCUAGCUGGUCUGAGAGGAUGACCAGCCACACUGGAACUGAGACACGGUCCAGACUCCUACGGGAGGCAGCAGUGGGGAAUAUUGCACAAUGGGCGCAAGCCUGAUGCAGCCAUGCCGCGUGUAUGAAGAAGGCCUUCGGGUUGUAAAGUACUUUCAGCGGGGAGGAAGGGAGUAAAGUUAAUACCUUUGCUCAUUGACGUUACCCGCAGAAGAAGCACCGGCUAACUCCGUG